AGGAUGAACGCUGGCGGCGUGCUUAACACAUGCAAGUCGAACGGUGAAGUAAGAGCUUGCUCUUGCGGAUCAGUGGCGAACGGGUGAGUAACACGUGAGUAACCUGCCCUUGACUCUGGGAUAAGCACUGGAAACGGUGUCUAAUACCGGAUACGACUUCCGGAGGCAUCUUCUGGAAGUGGAAAGAAUUUCGGUCAAGGAUGGACUCGCGGCCUAUCAGCUAGUUGGUGAGGUAAUGGCCCACCAAGGCGACGACGGGUAGCCGGCCUGAGAGGGUGACCGGCCACACUGGGACUGAGACACGGCCCAGACUCCUACGGGAGGCAGCAGUGGGGAAUAUUGCACAAUGGGCGCAAGCCUGAUGCAGCAACGCCGCGUGAGGGACGACGGCCUUCGGGUUGUAAACCUCUUUAGUAGGGAAGAAGCGAAAGUGACGGUACCUGCAGAAAAGCACCGGCUAACUACGUGCCAGCAGCCGCGGU
rnacentral:rRNA from 1 species